rnacentral:lncRNA from 1 species
CACCUACAAGGAACAAGUCUAUCAGGAAGCAAGCAGAACAGGAACCCAUGCCUAGAACUGAUUGCAACUGAAAAAAAAAAAUGGGUUUGCACAAUCAAAAGCAUCAGAAGAGAAAAUGCAUUGGAAGCUGUAAUCUUAAUCACCUGGUUCUUAUACUUUGAAGGGAUCCUUGAUUUUAUGCGUGAAGGGUCUUCCAGACUAUAA